GCGCCUCUUGCUUCAACAGUGCUUGGACGGAGGCAG
rfam:Alligator mississippiensis ScZkoYb_2033, whole genome shotgun sequence.